AUGUUCCUUCCCAAUGACACCCAAUUCCACCUCUUCUCCUUCUUGUUGCUGGGGAUCCCAGGAAUGGAAACGCUGCACGUCUGGAUUGGCUUGCCCUUUUGUACUGUGUACAUGAUUGCACUCAUAGGGAACUUCACAGUUCUGUUCGUGAUCCAGGCUGAGAGCCGCCUACACCAACCUAUGUUCUACUUCUUGGCCAUGUUGGCUACUAUUGAUUUGGGUCUGUCCACAGCUACCAUUCCCCAGAUGCUCGGGAUCUUCUGGUUCAACCUCAGAGAGAUCAUCUUUGAAGCCUGCCUUGUGCAGAUGUUUUUCAUUCACAGCUUCACACUUAUGGAAUCAGCAGUCCUGUUGGCAAUGGCUUAUGACCGCUACGUGGCCAUCUGCAGCCCACUCCGAUAUAGCACCACCCUCACCAACAAGGUUGUUUUUGUGAUUGGUGUUGCUGUGUUAGUGAGGGCAUUUAUUUUUGUGAUUCCAUUUGUAUUUCUUAUUUUGCGAUUGCCCUUCUGUGGGAAUCAUGUCAUUCCCCAUACAUAUUGUGAACACAUGGGUCUUGCUCGCCUCUCUUGUGCCAGCAUCAAGAUCAAUAUUAUUUAUGGCUUAUGUGCAAUUUGUAAUCUAGUCUUUGACAUCAUAGCCAUUGCCCUGUCUUAUGUUCAGAUACUCCGUGCUGUUUUCCGUCUUCCCUCCCAUGAAGCCCGACUCAAGUCCCUCAGCACAUGUGGUUCUCAUGUUUGUGUCAUCCUUGCCUUCUAUACACCGGCCCUCUUUUCCUUUAUGACACAUCGCUUCGGCCAAAAUGUCCCCCGCUAUAUCCACAUACUCCUGGCCAAUCUUUAUGUUGUCGUGCCACCAAUGCUCAAUCCUGUCAUAUACGGAGUCAGGACCAAGCAGAUCUAUGACCGUGUGAAGAAAAUACUAUUAUAGAAACAAGGAAAGGAAAAAGAAUGACACCUAAUGCAUGUGCAGUUCAAUAUGAAAUUUUAUGAAACUUAG